GAUGAACGCUGGCGGCGUGCCUAAUACAUGCAAGUCGAGCGAACGGACGAGAAGCUUGCUUCUCUGAUGUUAGCGGCGGACGGGUGGGUAACACGUGGAUAACCUACCUAUAAGACUGGGAGAACUUCGGGAAACCGGAGCUAAUACCGGAUAAUAUUUUGAACCGCAUGGUUCAAAAGUGAAAGACGGUCUUGCUGUCACUUAUAGAUGGAUCCGCGCUGCAUUAGCUAGUUGGUAAGGUAACGGCUUACCAAGGCUACGAUGCAUAGCCGACCUGAGAGGGUGAUCGGCCACACUGGAACUGAGACACGGUCCAGACUCCUACGGGAGGCAGCAGUAGGGAAUCUUCCGCAAUGGGCGAAAGCCUGACGGAGCAACGCCGCGUGAGUGAUGAAGGUCUUCGGAUCGUAAAACUCUGUUAUUAGGGAAGAACAUAUGUGUAAGUAACUGUGCACAUCUUGACGGUACCUAAUCAGAAAGCCACGGCUAACUACGUG
rnacentral:rRNA from 1 species